rnacentral:rRNA from 1 species
GAUGAACGCUGGCGGCGUGCCUAAUACAUGCAAGUCGAGCGAACGGACGAGAAGCUUGCUUCUCUGAUGUUAGCGGCGGACGGGUGAGUAACACGUGGAUAACCUACCUAUAAGACUGGGAUAACUUCGGGAAACCGGAGCUAAUACCGGAUGAUAUUUUGAACCGCAUGGUUCAAAAGUGAAAGACGGUCUUGCUGUCACUUAUAGAUGGAUCCGCGCUGCAUUAGCUAGUUGGUAAGGUAACGGCUUACCAAGGCAACGAUGCAUAGCCGACCUGAGAGGGUGAUCGGCCACACUGGAACUGAGACACGGUACAGACUCCUACGGGAGGCAGCAGUAGGGACUCUUCCGCAAUGGGCGAAAGCCUGACGGAGCAACGCCGCGUGAGUGAUGAAGGUCUUCGGAUCGUAAAACUCUGUUAGUAGGGAAGAACAUAUGUGUAAGUAACUGUGCACAUCUUGACGGUACCUAAUCAGAAAGCCACGGCUAACUACGUG